rnacentral:rRNA from 1 species
UACGUAGGUGACAAGCGUUGUCCGGAUUUACUGGGCGUAAAGAGCGCGCAGGCGGUCGUUCAAGUCGAGUGUGAAAGCCCCCGGCUCAACUGGGGAGGGUCACGCGAUACUGAUCGACUCGGAGGCAGGAGAGGGUAGUGGAAUUCCCGGUGUAGUGGUGAAAUGCGUAGAUAUCGGGAGGAACACCAGUGGCGAAGGCGAGUCUCUGGGGGCAACCUGACGCUGAGGCGCGAAAGCGUGGGGAGCGAACCGG